rnacentral:rRNA from 1 species
UAGGGAAUCUUCCGCAAUGGACGCAAGUCUGACGGAGCAACGCCGCGUGAGUGAAGAAGGAUUUCGGUUCGUAAAACUCUGUUGUUAGAGAAGAACAGCGCAUAGAGUAACUGUUAUGCGUGUGACGGUAUCUAACCAGAAAGCCACGGCUAACUACGUGCCAGCAGCCGCGGUAAUACGUAGGUGGCAAGCGUUGUCCGGAUUUAUUGGGCGUAAAGCGAGCGCAGGCGGUUAGAUAAGUCUGAAGUUAAAGGCAGUGGCUCAACCAUUGUAGGCUUUGGAAACUGUUUAACUUGAGUGCAGAAGGGGAGAGUGGAAUUCCAUGCGUAGCGGUGAAAUGCGUAGAUAUAUGGAGGAACACCGGUGGCGAAAGCGGCUCUCUGGUCUGUAACUGACGCUGAGGCUCGAAAGCGUGGGGAGCGAACAGG